rnacentral:misc_RNA from 1 species
UCGGCUCAGUCACGCCUCUGCCAGUGACACCGGUGUAGCUCACACACACGCACACGCGUACAGCAAGCAGCAGCAGCAGCACCGCAGUCGCCCCUCCCAUCGCCUCUGCCACUUGCUGUCCGCUAAUAUACCAUUACCACCACCAUCCGCAACCCUCCGCAGCGCAACCAUGGCCAAGUCCAGCCGUUCGAAGUGGAAGAAGAUGCACCGGCGCCAGCGGGCGCAGGCGGAGGCGACGAACACGGUGAAGCGCAUUCGCCUGCUGAACAAGAAGCUCGAGCUCACUGUCAAGGGUGGCAUCAGUGCCGUGCCGCCGCAGGAGCCGGAGAAGCGCUUCCACUUUCUCAACCCGGUGCUGGACUCGCGUGUGCCGAACACGCGCAAGAACUUGAACAACAACUACCGUGCUGAGCUGAACCACGUCCAGUACGACUACACAAAGCCCCUGAAGCUGGCGCCGCCAAAGACCAACAUGUACGGCAAGACGGACGUAGACGCGCCGCAUCCGAUGACGGUGAUGUACGAGACGAUCGACGCCGACGCGCCGUUGGCGGGUCACGCGCUGACCAAGGCGGACAUGGAGCGGCUGGCGCGUCGGCAGGCGCAGCAGGAGCGUGAGGCGUCUGCCGCGGUGGCCGAUGCGGAGGAGGAUGCCGGCGAAGAAGACGGCGACAACGACAGCGGCGACAACGCUGACGACGGCCCGGAGGAAUACGUAUUUGGCAUGGAAGACGCCGCGCCGCGCCGUACACGCGGGCAACAGAAGACAAGUGCCAAGAAGAAGGGGUCUGUGGCGCCGAAGGCAUUGAAGGGCGCCGCAUCGGCCUCCGCCGGAACCUCUUCGUCCGUGUCGGUGGCCGGCUCCAGCAGCCGCAUGCUCGCAGCGGCGGCAGCCGCGAUGGCCAACGAAGAGGAAGAGGCCGAUCAUCACCCCCGUCAUGGCGGCGUGACGGCGGUGAACAAGAUCGCGAGCAUGCAAGCAAUGCGGAAGAAGAACGGCGCGAUGGUCUCCGCCGGCGGCGCGUCGAAGAUGAAGAAGGUGGGGAAGCUCGGCGGCUCGAGCGGCACCCGUGUUGUGAGCAGCGGCGGCAAGGUAGCGCGGAAGGACGUGGGCAACGCGAAGAACAGCACCAAGAGGUAAUAAUCGUAGGCCGUGGUGAUGAAUGAGCACUGCGCGAUAGUGAGAAGGGGCUGAGAAGCCGAACAGUUGGCGAGGUUCCGUGCGGAUCGCCCCACCCACCAACAACACAUGUCUGAGUGCAGCAUGCUUGCAUGCAGAUAUGCGUGAGGCAGUAAGGGCGAAGAAAGCGAGAGGUCGGUGUUUGUGAAGGGUUUCUUGCCAGGUCGAAGUGCCUGCGUGCUCCGUGUCACCGCUUCGUGUCCACGCACACAAACAGUUCAUAUCUUGCACGUUAAUGCUGCUGCUGCUGUGGUGGUGGUGGUGGUGGUGAGUGGAUGGCGGUGGCCUCCGCCCAUAGCGGCUCUGCUCAGCUACCUGGUCGUGUGUCUGAACUUCGUUCUUGUCGUGUUGUGUUGCUGUUGUGGGAAGCGUGGGUGUGGCUGCCUGUGUGUGUGUGCCUUUUUUGAUUCAUUACCUCCUGUUCACGCAUUAAUGUCCCCGUAUAAGUGAUCUAAGCCCGGCCUGCAGGUAUCUCUCUCCCUCACGCUCCCUCUCCAAGUUUGGGCGUGGCCGUGUGUGUGUGUGUGUACGUGUGAACCGCCAUUGAUG